rnacentral:rRNA from 1 species
GACGAACGCUGGCGGCGUGCUUAACACAUGCAAGUCGAACGGAAAGGCCCUGCUUUUGUGGGGUGCUCGAGUGGCGAACGGGUGAGUAACACGUGAGUAACCUGCCCUUGACUUUGGGAUAACUUCAGGAAACUGGGGCUAAUACCGGAUAGGAGCUCCUGCUGCAUGGUGGGGGUUGGAAAGUUUCGGCGGUUGGGGAUGGACUCGCGGCUUAUCAGCUUGUUGGUGGGGUAGUGGCUUACCAAGGCUUUGACGGGUAGCCGGCCUGAGAGGGUGACCGGCGACAUUGGGACUGAGAGAGGGACCAGACGGCUAUGGGAGGCAGUAGUGGGGAAUAUUGCACAAUGGGCGGAAGCGUGAUGCAGCAACGCCGCGUGCGGGAUGACGGCCUUCGGGGUGUAAACCGCUUUCGCCUGUGACGAAGCGUGAGUGACGGUAAUGGGUAAAGAAGCACCGGCUAACUACGUG